GAUGAACGCUGGCGGCGUGCCUAACACAUGCAAGUCGAACGGAGUCCAGCCUUUAAGACCUUCGGGUCAAAGAGGGGAAGACUGAGUGGCGGACGGGUGAGUAACACGUGGGCAACCUGGCUCAUAGAGGGGGAUAACAGAGAGAAAUUUCUGCUAAUACCGCAUAAGCACACACUGCCGCAUGGCAGAGUGUGAAAAGAGAAUCGCUAUGAGAUGGACCCGCGUCUGAUUAGCCAGUUGGCAGGGUAAGAGCCUACCAAAGCGACGAUCAGUAGCCGAUCUGAGAGGAUGAACGGCCACAUUGGGACUGAGACACGGCCCAAACUCCUACGGGAGGUUGCUUUUUGGGGAUAUUGCACAAUGGGGGGAACCCUGAUGCAGCGACGCCGCGUGCGUGAAGAAGUAU
rnacentral:rRNA from 1 species